rnacentral:rRNA from 1 species
CAUGCAAGUCGAACGCGUCUUGGGGGCAACUCCAAGAUGAGUGGCGAACGGGUGAGUAACACGUGGGUGUUAUUUCCCCCAGUGAGGGAUAAGCCCCCGAAAGGGGGUCUAAUACCGCAUAACACCCUGGGGCAUAAGCUUCCAGGGUCGAAGCCGCAAGGCGCUUGGGGAUGAGCCUGCGUCCUAUUAGCUAGUUGGUAGGGUAACGGCCUACCAAGGUUAUGAUGGGUAGCCGACCUGAGAGGGUGAUCGGCCACACUGGGACUGAGACCAGGCCCAGACUCCUACGGGAGGCAGCAGUGAGGAAUAUUGCGCAAUGGGCGAAAGCCAGACGCAGCAACGCCGCGUGGGCGAUGAAGGUCUUCGGAUCGUAAAGCCCUUUUCUAGAGGAAGAGGAAGGACAG